rnacentral:rRNA from 1 species
AUGAGGCUUCCCCCAAGUGAGUGGCAUUGGUUUGUUGCAUUGGAAAUCCAAUUAACAAUGGGGAGCUUGUUGCAACUAUUGAAUGAAUGGGAGAUCCAACUGCUUGUGCUUCUCAGCUUCAUGCUACAAAUAUUCCUCUUUUUUACUGGUAGCCUUCGACAACGCGGCGCUAAGUUUCUUAGUGGCAUCAUUUGGAUAGCUUAUUUAGUGGCAGACAUGGUAGCAGUUUACACCCUUGGUUUACUCUCAAAACAAGCGGAAAACACCACCCAGCUGACAGCAAACCACCCACUAGCUUUCUUUUGGGCACCCUUCCUGCUGCUUCAUCUUGGUGGACAGGACACCAUCACUGCUUUUUCCUUGGAGGACAACAGUUUGUGGUUGAGGCAUUUGUUAAAUUUGAUAGUCCAAGUGGUCCUAGCCUUGUAUGUCUUCUGGAAGUCUACUGCUUGGCGAAAUGUGCAGAUUCUUGUUCCGGGCAUCUUUAUGUUUGUUGCUGGCAUCAUUAAGUACGGGGAGAGAACGAUGGCUCUCAUGUACAGUAACCUACAAAACAUCAGUGGCUACAAUAGUAAUGAAGAAGAAAAUAGGUUGACUCAUCCAGAACUGGAGGAGGAUGCUAGGUACUCUAGCAUUAUUAGUUUUUCCUUGGAUUCAACUCCGAUAGUUCGACACUUAUUUGCUGGAUUUACACUCUUCCAGAUACCAGAAGGCUUCCAUGCAACAACUUGGACAAGCUAUGCUCGAUCACAUCAAGUCCAACAGGCCAAGUUGGCCAAGUUGGUUGAUGUAGGAAUCAUGUAUUGUGAUGUCUAUACAAAGGCUGCAGUGCUUCGGACAAGGAGCGGCAUCGUACUUCGGUGCACCUCUCAAGUAUCAGCUUUCCUUGCCCUUGUGCUCUUCUUCACAGUUGGCAACAAACAGAGGUACAAUAGAGUCGACAUUGCAAUCACGUACAUGUUAUUUAUGGGAUACUUUUUUCUGGAAGUUUGUGCAAUGUUUAUGAUGGUCAUUGUAUCACCUUGGACGUGGGCUUGGCUUAUGGCUAAGAAGUGGGUUCGGCUCACUCGCAUAUCCUGGACGCUUUUCUCCAGUAAUACUAUUGGGUGGCCAGAGGAGAAGAUGUUGUGGUCAAACAACAUGGGGCAGUACAAUUUUCUGAUCUAUGUGGGCUGCGAGGAAAAGCCAAGUACUCCGUCCACGUCGGAACGAGUGAUGAGCAGGAUCAGGAAGAUGACAAAAGCAGUUGGUGCUGGAGAGGACAAGUUGUUUUGGUUAAGCAAGACAUUAGAUACGAAGUACGAGGAGGUGGAUGCGGAUAUCACAGAUAGCUUUCUGAGGGAGAUUGAAGUCAUUCUCCAAUCCCCUUUCGGAGGAGGACCGAGUAGGCUGUGGCAACAUCUCAGUGUGAAUAACAUGGCAAGGGAAUUUUCUAGAGAUUUUACUGCAGUCAUAAUCAAUUUGCAUAUAUCAACAAUAAUACACCUCAGUGAAGUUUCAAGUGUGGAUGUGGAAAUAGUUGCCUUGGUUGGUGUCUGCCGGAAACUAUCCAAUUAUAUGAUGUACCUCCUUGCUACACACCCUGUUAUGUUGCAGGUCACUGCAACCAGUGCCAAAUCAGUACUACAAGGCUUUCGUAAGAAGUUUAUGAUGAUGAUGACUGGCAGCAUCAGCAAGCCCGUGGUUCUACAAAAUCUCAAAGAGUUGAUAUCGAAGGAGGAUUCCAAGUUGUCUUUGCCUGAACCAUGCAAAGAAACACUGGAGGAGAUGAGAGAUAUGUGGGUGAGGAUCAUCAUGUAUGCCGCUGGCAGGUCGCGGCCAGAGACGCAUGCCAAACAGCUGGCCAGAGGACGGGAAUUCCUUACCUUCAUCUGGCUGCUCAUGGCACACAAAAAUCUUGGGUCUUCCACGUCCUUUCCAAUCGAACUUAUUAGCCCACCUCCUAAUUUUGGGCCUUACAGUGGUGUACGAAGUUACGCCUUUGAUUUUCGCCAAAAUUGA